UGGGGAAUAUUGGACAAUGGGCGCAAGCCUGAUCCAGCCAUGCCGCGUGUGUGAAGAAGGCCUGCGGGUUGUAAAGCACUUUAAGGUGGAAAGAAGGCCUGGAGGCGAAUACCCUCUGGGAUUGACGUUACCACCAGAAUAAGCACCGGCUAACUCCGUGCCAGCAGCCGCGGUAAUACGGAGGGUGCAAGCGUUAAUCGGAAUUACUGGGCGUAAAGCGCGCGUAGGCGGUUCACUCAGUCUGCUGUGAAAGCCCCGGGCUUAACCUGGGAACGGCAGUGGAUACUGGUGGGCUAGAGUAUGGUAGAGGGGAGUGGAAUUUCCGGUGUAGCAGUGAAAUGCGUAGAGAUCGGAAGGAACACCAGUGGCGAAGGCGGCUCUCUGGACCAAUACUGACGCUGAGGUGCGAAAGCGUGGGGAGCAAACA
rnacentral:rRNA from 1 species